ACUAUCUAUAAUAAGAGAUGAUCCGCUGAUGUAAAACUGCCUAUGUGUCAACUCCUAAGGUAUGCCAUGUGUACAUGCUGAUGUCAUAAUUCCUUUUUGUAUAUAUAGAUUUUUCAAUUUUUAUGUAUUAUUAAUUGUUUUAUUUUAAACAUGCUUGCUGAAAUGUUUGGGCGGUGAAAUCAGUGUUCAAAAUUUUCAUUCAAAUUUCAAAAUUCAAAUCAUAACUUUAAUCCUCCUCUCUCACUCUCAAAUAUAUUCUAACCUUCAUUUUCAAAAUUCAAACCGUCAAUCUUCACACCUCUCUCUCUUCAACUUCUCAAAUCUCCUGAGUUUUCAAGUGGCACCCAGAGCAGCCGCAACCUUCCGCCGUACGCCACCACCGCCACCAAUUCCGGCCACCACUACCUCCACCUCUCUCACCGGUCAUGUUGUAAGAAAUUUUGAAAGUUGAUUCAGUUCUGAUAGAAGAUGCGCAACGUACUUAAAGUUCAGCAUAUUCAUCACGGCCGUGUAACCUGCAUCCUCACAGCCUAUUGGCGAAUGAUACAAGAAAUGUCAAAGCUCUUUAUCGGGGAGGUCAAGCAUAUAAAAAUUUAGGGCAACUGCAAGAAGCAGUGUCUCACUUGUCCAAAGCACUUGAACUUUCUCCUGAUGAUGAAACCAUUGCACAUGUUUUAAGGCUUUGCAGAGUUGCUUUUGAGAAGGAAAAGUUUCUUUUUUCACAUCAUUUAGUAAAUAAUGCAUAACUUUUACGAUAUAAACUCAAAAUCAAAAAAAAUCCUAAUUGACUUUUAAUGUAACGGUUUGAAUUCAGGAUUCUAUUAAGGGAGAUUAGAGGAUGAGCUCGAUUUGCCUACUUGUCACGUUCUUAGUUAUUAAGGGACAUUAGAGGAUGACCUCUGUUGAAGAAGCAAC